GACGAACGCUGGCGGCGUGCUUAACACAUGCAAGUCGAACGGAAAGGCCCUGCUUUUGUGGGGUGCUCGAGUGGCGAACGGGUGAGUAACACGUGAGUAACCUGCCCUUGACUUUGGGAUAACUUCAGGAAACUGGGGCUAAUACCGGAUAGGAGCUCCUGCUGCAUGGUGGGGGUUGGAAAGUUUCGGCGGUUGGGGAUGGACUGGCGGCUUAUCAGCUUGUUGGUGGGGUAGUGGCUUACCAAGGCUUUGACGGGUAGCCGGCCUGAGAGGGUGAACGGCCACAUUGGGACUGAGAUACGGCCCAGACUCCUACGGGAGGCAGCAGUGGGGAAUAUUGCACAAUGGGCGGAAGCCUGAUGCAGCAACGCCGCGUGCGGGAUGACGGCCUUCGGGUUGUAAACCGCUUUCGCCUGUGACGAAGCGUGAGUGACGGUAAUGGGUAAAGAAGCACCGGCUAACUACGUG
rnacentral:rRNA from 1 species